GAUGAACGCUGGCGGCGUGCCUAAUACAUGCAAGUCGAGCGAACAGACGAGGAGCUUGCUCCUCUGACAUUAGCGGCGGACGGGUGAGUAACACGUGGAUAACCUACCUAUAAGACUGGGAUAACUUCGGGAAACCGGAGCUAAUACCGGAUAAUAUAUUGAACCGCAUGGUUCAAUAGUGAAAGACGGUUUUGCUGUCACUUAUAGAUGGAUCCGCGCCGCAUUAGCUAGUUGGUAAGGUAACGGCUUACCAAGGCAACGAUGCGUAGCCGACCUGAGAGGGUGAUCGGCCACACUGGAACUGAGACACGGUCCAGACUCCUACGGGAGGCAGCAGUAGGGAAUCUUCCGCAAAGGGCGAAAGCCUGACGGAGCAACGCCGCGUGAGUGAUGAAGGUCUUCUGAUCGUAAAACUCUGUUAUUAGGGAAGAACAAAUGUGUAAGUAACUAUGCACGUCUUGACGGUACCUAAUCAGAAAGCCACGGCUAACUACGUG
rnacentral:rRNA from 1 species